CGGAGUUGAGUCCCUCCACGACGGGGGCCGCAUCCAGCGCGUUGCGGGCCACCAGCACCGCGUAGGCGGCGAUGGAGGCGGUGGAGGCGAAGGCCCAGGUCAGUGCGGCACCCAAUACCUGUAUUUCAUGUGCGUGUGGGUAGGGUGCGCACACACAGAGAACCGCAGAGGUGCAUCAUCCAACCAACCAUGGUGACAGGGGGAAACCUCCGCCGCAGCUACCUGCCGCCGUGCUUCCCCCUCGUCCGGGUAUACACGUGCGCCCUGAAUCCCCUCCCCCCUCUCCCCAGGCGUUGUCACUUGCUCGGAUCGACAACAGUUCGGGAAAACACACAUGCCACGCCCGCCUCCUCAGCUCGAUACAUGCAGUCGACUCGCUAAAGCUCCGUCCCUAGGGCCCCCCUUUCCCUUUUAUUUACGGCAGCGUAGUUG
rnacentral:lncRNA from 1 species